UACGGAGGGGGCGAGCGUUGUCCGAAGUUACUGGGCGUAAAGGGCGCGUAGGCGGUUUGUCGCGUCUGCUGUGAAAACUCGGGGCUUAACUCCGGGCCUGCAGUGGGUACGGGCAGACUAGAGUGCGGUAGGGGAGACUGGAAUUCCUGGUGUAGCGGUGAAAUGCGCAGAUAUCAGGAAGAACACCCGUGGCGAAGGCGGCUCUCUGGGACGGUACUGACGCUGAGACGCGAAAGCGUGGGGAGCGAACAGG
rnacentral:rRNA from 1 species